UACGGGGGGAGCAAGCGUUGUUCGGAUUUACUGGGCGUAAAGGGCGCGUAGGCGGCCUCUGCAAGUCGACUGUGAAAUCUCCGGGCUUAACCCGGAACGGUCAGCCGAUACUGCAGGGCUAGAGUGCAGAAGGGGCAACCGGAAUUCUCGGUGUAGCGGUGAAAUGCGUAGAUAUCGAGAGGAACACCUGCGGCGAAGGCGGGUUGCUGGGCUGACACUGACGCUGAGGCGCGAAAGCUAGGGGAGCGAACGGG
rnacentral:rRNA from 1 species